rnacentral:lncRNA from 1 species
GAGAAGGGUGGAGCAGAAUGUCCCUCGUCCAUUAAAUAUCAACCCCAUGGCAGCCAUGAAAGGGGGAGAAAAUAAAAGAACAAUGAAAAAAAAAAACCUUUGCAUCUCCACCUUAACAUACGCCGCCACCACCUGAACCAACUCUAAUUAGCAACCACCAGCUCUGGUAAUAGUGGUCAAGGGCUUCCAUCAACCACAACAAUGUUUUCCUUUCCUCCAUUUAAGCAUCUACUCGUAAGCUUCCUACACCAGCAACUUCUUCUCCAGCAUCCAAAGCAACACCACCGUGGACUACAGUAGCUCUACCAUCACGCACCACCAUGCUACGACAGUAACUAGCCAAGCAACCCCUUUUCUCGGCCAGGUAAGCUUCUUCCCCUCCUCUUUAUCUACAUGCCAAUAACGUAAUUUGCGUUACUGGCAGCCUAGUCCAUUGGCUGACCUGGUCCAGCCCACAUCAUAUAUAAAAAGAGGGCCUGUUGAGCUGUCUGUCUCCUAACAAAUCAGGUUCAGCUAGGCUUCAACUCAACUCGUACCCGUAUGCAUGGUCUUGGACCAGUAGACUCAGUCUAUAUAGUUGGACUAAGCCCAACCUAAAAGCUAAGAGUGCAUUUAACUAGCAUCAAUUUUGUUAAGAAAAUAAGGCAUUGUUUGUUCCUUAAAACAUUUUUAAUGCUUCUGAUUUUAGACUAAAAACACAUUUAACAAACACAACCUAUGCUUUUUUCUUUAGUUUUAGUGUAUAUUUUGUGUUUAGCCAAACAAUCCUUAAAAUACUAAAAAAUUCUAAAUAAAUUUAGGAACUAUUUUAAAAUGAUUUGUGGGUCCCUCGCGUGUUUUUUCAACUUUUUUACCUAAUAUCGGUUUAUAGAAUUAUACUGUAAGAUACAGACCCGAUAUUAACAAUACCUAAUUUUU